AGUGUCAAGGGAUGGGAAUCGAACCCACGACCUUCCGCUUACCGGGCAGAUGCGAUGACCACUAGGCCACAUGACC